UAAAAUGAAACACCUUCUUUAAGGAACUUAGUGAUAUUUUUUGAUUUUUGCCGGAAGAGGUAUUAUAGAAAUAUUUCUUGGAAAAUUAUUUCUCCUUUCCUUUUCAACUUCAGUGCUUUCUACAAAGAAGUGUUCGAUAUUCUCAAUGGAAAGCUUCUCAUCACCUGGCAGUUCUGGUUCUUCAAUGGCUUUCAACUCUGUCAGUGGCUGUUCUGUUUGAUUCAAUGGUGCAGAAGCAUCAUGAUUCAUAAAAUGCUAUGAAACACAAGGGACUCAAUGGACCAAUGGUACUUAGGAGUAUAUCAACAAUGCUUCAUUACAGCAUGUUGUGCAUGGUGGACCGGGUUUUCUGAGGAGCGGCGGUCUUAGGCACAGUACCACACUGCUCCUUUUUUUUGAAGAGUUCUGUGCUUUUGUCAGGAGGUUCUGAUUGCAGACCCUUCAGAAAUGCAGCAUCGUGCUUUCAAUCUGCAAGUUACCUUCUUAUGAAGAGCUGUCCAAGAAAGGCAAACCAUGUCCUCUUUUUCACAGCAGUCAGCUUCUGUAUUCUGAAAUAUAAAAGGCCAAAAUCACAGACGGCCACUUUGCAAGGAGGGCAGCAGAAAUACUUUCCUGAAGUUAACAAGAAAAUAACAAGACGCACUGAGAAUGAAAGCUUUACCCUGUAUGCAAACUGAGAUAUCCCUAAGCUGGGAUUGGAAUCAGAAGAGUAAUACUGUCUCGUGGUGGAAAAUAAAAA